UUUGGGAAAUGGCCACUGAUAAUGGAUGCUGAUAACUUGAUAAGCAAUAAUAUGUCAAUGUAAUAAAGGUGUCAACAUAGUGUCAACUUUAAGCGUCAAUUGGUGUCAAUUUUUGAGUGGGCAUUUUUUGCAAAUUGAAUGUGGGAUAACACAAUUGCUUAUCAGCGUCCUUAUGCUUGACUAAGUUUACAAUGCCGCAUUGUUGUGCAUUUGGAUGUUCGAAGAAAGGUGCGGUGCUGCACGUUUUUCCAAAUCCAAACAAACACCCUGAUCGAUUUAAAGUUUGGGUUCAGCUUAUUGGGGGCAAGUUGGGCACCCCAUCAGAUUAUGAAUUUUAUAAGAAAAAGAGGAUUUGCGAUCUUCAUUUUACCGAAGAACAUAGGAAUCGCUUUAAGCGAUUAAAUGCUAUAGCAGUACCGACCCUAUGUCUACUUGAUGACUCUACCAGCGCGAGCUACGCGCUACGAGCAUAGCCGACAACAUGAGAAUCCACCACAACAUCCACCUUUCAAGAUGUUGCUCCUGUAACUGACAUUCAGCCCACCUUUCAUUCUGCUGCUUCUGCGCCAGGCACAUCAUGCGCCCAACAUAAGUACUUCUCUUGGGAUUCACAAUCAACCUACCUUUCAUUUCGCUACUUCUGCCCCAGGGUGGCCCCAGGCACCAGGCACUGCCAGCGCCCAACAUUUGCUCCUAGAAUUGACUAUCAGCACAUCUUUCAUUCUGCUGCUUCUAUGCCAGUUACGCCCGCUAUACAACAGUGAGGUGCCUACCAUCAUCAACAACGUAUGUACUGCAGAUUCUUCUGUAUUUGCAGAACAUAAUUAUAGUGUGAUGAGUCGUUCGAAAAGAAAGACAUUAGAUGAAGGUUCGAACAAACGUGAGGUGCAGCUUAAGGUAAAACAACUUCAAAUGGAAGAUAACCGUUUGCCCAAAAGGGGACUUUCAUACAAGCACUGCCGCGUUCCAGACAGUAUGACAUUGUGCAGCACAUGACGAAACCAGCUCAGCUUUUAGUGAAAAUGCAAUAACAAUCAACGAAGCACCCUAAAGGACGACGCUAUUCACUAAAAGAAAAAAAUUAUGGCAUUCUCGCUUUACAAAUAGAGUCCGAAGUGCUAAUACAGGCUGUUGUGUGAAUAUUUUUCACUUCCACCUGGCAAAACGAUGAAAAGAUUAUUAGGCGAAAUUAAACUUACCACAGUGGCAUAAACACAAUUAUAUUCGAAGGAAUUAAACACAAAAUAACCAAUCAGAUGGCAGUCGCUUUCGUAAAAACUAGUGCCUACGCCGAUUCUUAGGAUUACUUGUCAAGCGGAUCCCAGGCUCCCAUGAGUCGUGGCAAAAUGCCGGGAUAACGCACGGAAGAUGAUGAGGAAGGACCUUUCACAUCUCCAAACUUCAUGCAUUAACCGUAAAGACUAUGCGUCUCUGUAAUAUGGUACAAUUUUGACUUAUUGGACACGUAUUAGUUGUGUAUUCCGUAGCAUUCGUUUAUAAGACUGUUAGCUUAGUCUCCUGACGCAAAACAAUUACUUACAUAUUUCAUAUUCGCUAGGCUAGGUGCACGACGGGUGCUGCUGUCCUUAUUUUGUGGGCUUCUCUACGGGAGUGAAAUUAUCAAACUGAUGCUGCUAGAAUUCAUGUGGGACAUUCCAUAAUAUUAUGUGUGUUCUCCCUCCACCGACUGCACUUUGCUAAUAAUUUCAUUUUAACAUGUGCCUAAGCCUUUCUCACUUCAAGGACCGCACGGAAGACCAGCGCUGGCUUUAUAUCUAGCAUUACGCUGAGUUGGGUCCAUUUCGUGAUGCACACUUAACAUAUCAGAACCAAAACGUAUUGUUACUAAAAUUAUAGGCAAAAAGUUGUAUCUACUGAUAUACAUACAUACAUACAUAUAAUCACGCCUAUUUCCCGGAGGGGUAGGCAGAGACCACGGAUUUCCACUUGCUACGAUCCUGACAUACCUCUUUCGCUUCCUUCAAUUUCAUAACAUUCCUCAUACACCUCACAAUGUGUUUACAUUUUGUUAGAUAGAUAAUUCACUAUUUAUUACCGUUAUGUUAAAAUGUCAUUUUGGUCGGAUGUUCAUAUCCAAAGUUAUAUGGAAUUCGUGUCUUUUAUUUUCAUCAAAAUAAAUAUUGUUUUUUUGACAUUAGGGACCUUUAAUAUCUCCAAAUUGAAUAUAUUAUUGACGAAUCGAAUUUAAUUUCCUUGCUUCAUUUUUAUAUUGUACAGACUGUAUUGUAACGUUUAGUAUAAAUACAAGUUGGCAGAUAUUUAUUUUGAUAAAAAAAAACUAAUAUGUUUAAUAUAAAUUUAUGUCCAUCUGUACAUUUUUAAUGUCUGCUUUGGCUUAGGUUAUUUGAUUUUCUUAUAAAUUGUUUCAUACUAAAAUGCAUGGACUUUCAGCAAAAAAGAGAAAAUCUGUUAUAGACAAAUGGUGUACUUGUAAUAAAUUAUUUACCUACUGAAAGCUUGCUAAGCUUGAAAAUGUACAUAAAAAUAUCUUUAUUUAAUCGUUUUUAUUUAUUUAUUAAAUAAUAUCAUUAUCUCUAAGAGCCACGACGCUAAUUGCCAGAUCUCUUCUAAUUGCCAUGGUGUGAUAGUAAGCUCCCAACGCUAAUUGGUAGGCCUUCACCUGUUCUUAUUAGCUUUAUAUUGUAAAUGUUAACGAAAGCCUAGGCUCCAUGGAUUGUUGUGUAUGUACAUAUAAAAAAGUCUUUAUUUAAUCGGUUUUUUCUUAUUACAUAAUAUCUUUCCCUCUAAGAGCCAUGACGCUAAUCCUCCGGUCUCUUCCAAUUGCUAUCGUGUGAUACGUUUAUUGUGGUAUAAAGUAUAUGUUUUUUAUAAACUGAAAUAGAUAUCAUACACUGAAGAAAAAGUGACCAAGUCCACCACAAACAUAGUAGCAAUCAAUUUAUUGUACACAACACAGGUUUACAAAAAUACUUUAUCAGAAAUCAGAAAUAUUUAUUGUGUAAACUGUGUAGGUAUAAGAAGUUUAACUAGGAACAUUUUUUGAUAAACAUAAACAUAUAGUAAUGGAAGUACAAAGGCGAAUUUAUCCCUAUAAGGGAUCUCUUCCAAAUAACCUUUGAGUAGAUGAGUGGGAAACUAGGCAGGUUAAGUAAAGUUAUGUUUACCCAUGCAUGAGGUAGAUAUUGCCUCCUGUAUUUGUAUAUGUUGCGAUGUUUUCCUCAUGUAAAUGUUAUAUCGACAUGUGUAGUAAACUUUUGGCUCCUGUAUUUGUAAAUGUGACGAUGUUUUCUUCAUGUAAAUGUUAUAUCGACUUGUGUAAUAAACUUUUGAAUUUUAAAUUAUGAAAUAUCAACUAUCUUUUCUUUCCAAUUUAUACUCACCUUAUUAUUUUAUUUUAUCCAGUAUUUAACGAGCUACUUUAUUAUAAUUUUCUUGUUAAAAUCAUGCUUUGUAUAACAUUGUAUUGUACUUACUUUUCCUGUAUGUCUUUACAAUAUGUGCUUGCCAAUAUAUCUUACAUCAAGCAAAUAUUAUAAUAAAGUUGUUGAUUAAUGGGUAC